rnacentral:lncRNA from 1 species
AAAAAAAAACAAUAAUUAAAAAUGUUAAAAAGGGGCCGUAAGCACUCACCUUUGAAGUGUGAGUUUCAAUCGAUUGAAUUAGGUUUCUUUGAGAUGCUUGACGUGAGAAACCCUAAAUCCACAAUUCUUGAACUUUGAAACACUUUGGGUCCAUUUUGUAACAAAUUUAAACAAUUAGGGGUUGUUUGGUAAUUUAAUUAACCAAAAUAGGAUUGCUUUGAUUAAAAUAAAUAAAAAGAGGGACUGAAAUGGUUUAAAUUGAAAUUAUGUUUGAAAAAUGGACAGAUUUUGUUAAGGAUUUUUAAUGAAGGGGCUGAAAUGCUAAUUUUUAUUCAAAGUUUGAAGGUUGUCAUUUAUUAUGUUAAAAUAAACCAAAUGAGGGGCUGUUUUGUUUAAAAUACCCNNNNNNNNNNNNNNNNNNNNNNNNNNNNNNNNNNNNNNNNNNNNNNNNNNNNNNNNNNNNNNNNNNNNNNNNNNNNNNNNNNNNNNNNNNNNNNNNNNNNCCCUGACAAAGUCAAGGUUUUACAAACCGCUAACAAUGAAGGCUAUAAAGCUCUUGAAGAAGAGUAUGAUGGUACGCAACAUGUUUUUAUAUAUCAUGUUGAGACAGAAUCUUCAUCAGACACUGAAGAAUACGAAUCAACAACGGAUGACUCAGACUAGUCCCAUACAUACCUCGCUUUUCAGGGAGGAGGAAAUUAACCAUUUUUGCGUAAACCUCCAGAAGAUUAAUGAUUCCCUUAUCAUGAAUCUUACUAAUCCAAACUCUAUUUAUGUUUCUUCCUUCCUUAACUUUAAAGGAUAUAAAAAAUUUAGAGUACAUUGUUUUGUAGACACAGGUGCAUCUUUAUGUCUUGCAAGCAAAUUCAUCAUUCCGGAUGAACUCUGGGAAAACGCUCCCAAAGAAAUUAGUGCCACUAUUGCAAAUGGUGAAACCAUAAAAAUUAAUAAAGUUUGUAGAAAUAUUAAUCUCGAACUUUCAGGAGAACAUUUCAAUGUUCCCACUAUUUACCAACAAAAUUCAGGAAUUGAUAUCAUAAUUGGUAACAACUUCUGUCAAGUCUAUGGACCAUUCAUACAAUGGAUAGAUAGAAUUGCCUUUCAUCUUAAUAAUGAUAUGGUAAUUAUAAAAAAGGCUACAGAGGCCUAUAGCAAAGGAAAACCAGGUUUUCUUGAAAGUCAAGAAAAAGGUUCUAAAGAAAAACAAAUUCCAGGUACUAAUAUAACUCAUGAAGAGAUUAAUAAAGAAAGGAUUAUUUCUAUUCAAACUACCAGGUUCAAACAGAUUGAAGAUCUUCUUGAAAAAGUUUGUUCUGAAAAUCCUAUUGAUCCAAAUAAAACCAAAGGAUGGAUGAAAGCUUCAAUCAAGCUUAUUGAUCCCAAAACGGUUAUUAGAGAAAAACCUAUGGUUUACUCUCUACAAGAUAGAGAAGAAUUUUCCAAACAAAUCAAAGAAUUACUUGAUAUGAGACUAAUUAUAGAAUCAAAAUCCCCUCAUAUGUCCCCUGCCUUUCUUGUCAAUAAAGAAGCAGAGAAAAGAAGAGGAAAGAAGCGAAUGGUUGUUAACUACAAAGCAAUCAAUGAUGCAACUAUUGGAGACUCACAUAAUCUCCCCAAUAUGCACGAACUCUUGACUCUUCUACGAGGAAAAAACAUUUAUUCAAGUUUCGACUGCAAGUCAGGUUUCUGGCAAGUUCUACUUGAUGAAGAAUCGCAGCUUCUCACUGCCUUCACAUGUCCUGAUGGACUCUUUCAAUGGAAAGUACUACCCUUUGGGCUUAAACAAGCUCCUAGUAUUUUUCAAAGACACAUGCAGAAUGCUCUUCGAGGCCUUGAAGGUUUCUGCACUGUAUACGUUGAUGACAUCAUGAUCUUCAGCAAAAAUGAACAAGAACACUAUGUUCAUGUCACACAGGUUCUCAGAACUAUUUUAAAAUAUGGUAUAAUACUUUCAAAAAAGAAAGCUCAUCUUUUCAAAACAAAAAUCAAUUUUUUAGGUUUAGAAAUAAAUGAAGGUACCCAUUGUCCUCAAAAGCAUAUUCUUGAACAUUUACAUGACUUUCCAAAUGUUUUAGAAGACAAAAAGCAACUACAAAGAUUUCUUGGUGUUUUAACUUAUGCUGAAACAUAUAUUGAAAAACUUGCAGCCAUGAGAAAACCUUUACAGGCAAAAUUAAAAAAAGAUGUCAUUUGGAAUUGGUCAAAUGCUGAUACAGACUACAUCAAAAAGAUAAAGAAAGUUUUAAUCAAUUUUCCAAAACUUUAUCUUCCAAACAUUGAAGACAGUUUAAUUAUUGAAACUGAUGCUUCUGAUGAAUUUUGGGGAGGUGUUUUAAAAGCUAAAAACCCCAAAAACGAAGAACAAAUUUGCAGGUACACCUCCGGAAGUUUCAAAGCAGCUGAGAAAAACUACCAUAGUAACGAAAAAGAAUUACUCGCUGUAAAAAGAGUUAUUACAAAAUUCUCUGUAUAUUUAACACCAGUAAAUUUCCUGGUUCGUACAGAUAAUAAAAAUUUUACUUAUUUCCUCCGAACUAAGAUUGCAGGAGAUAACAAAUUAGGCCGGCUAAUACGUUGGCAAGAGUGGUUUUCACGAUAUACUUUCACUGUUGAACAUCUCGCAGGAAACAAAAACGUACUGGCAGACUGCCUCACCCGUGACUUCAGGUAUACCUUACAUCAUCCAUGAUCUCACUCGCUCCUCUCGAGCCCUAUAAAAGGAUAUGAUCCUCAAGACAUAUUUCCUCACAAAUACUUCACCUACAAAAAGAGAGGGGGAGAUUAGAGAAAAAAGUAAACAAAAUUUGAGUUUACAAAAAUGGAAGACCUCAACACUUUGAGGAUGAAGAAACAAAUGCUCCUCAUAGAGCUAUCUGCAAUUGAGCAGAAAAUCAACUUGUAUGAACAAGUAACAACGGUCACCAAUGUACCGGAAAGCGAAAGCUCAAAAACAAAGGCUAUUCCAGUGCAAACGGCACCUGGUAAAGAAUCAACAAAUCCGUUGAAAGCUGAUGCUUUGCUAAAAAGCAUAAUAAAGGAGACAGCUACUCCUCUUCCUGAUGGAAAAACUAGCUUGUUGGUUGAUACCAAUCCUUGUACUGAAGGAAUCAGUAAAAUGACAACUUUGUCACCCAUUAACAAAUCUGUGCAGGAGUUUACACCAGAUUACAAAAAAGCUCUUAACAAAGAAGCUGAAAGAUUUUAUGUAAUCUACAAAGGACCUCAUGCCGGUGUUCAUACUGACUGGGGAAUUACAGAAACAUUCUGUAAAGUUGAUAAAGUUACUUGCAAAAAAUUCAGAAAUGAAGCAUCUGCAAGAUUAAGCCUUGCCACUUAUCAAGACGAUACAAGCAAGACUAACCAACCACUUCUUCGACCAAAAAUUCAUAAAGUCAAAGAAGCUCACAGAGACCAAAGGUUUGACGUUCCAAAUAACGUUCAACAAAUGGUUAACCAUCCUGAAAUCUCUUUCGAAGACUUCAGAACAAUCUGGAAGAAAGCAAGAGCUGCAUGCCCAGAAGACCUUGUUCAUGAAAAGUUUUUCACUACGGACAAGAAAACAAAAAGUCUGUUCAACUUCCUCGAAGGAUCAGAUGCAAAAUUAGUCUACCAAGCCUUUCAAGCUGGACUAAUUGACAAUAUCUACCCAAGUUGCAACCUUCAAGAACUCAUUUUCUUCCCAAGCAACAUGGUAGAAUCCAUUAAAAACUUUCGAAAGAAAGUACUUAAAGCAAAAGAUAAUCCGAUCUACAUCAGAUGCAUCUCUUCACUCCCAGAAUGGAUUCAAGAAUCAACUCUUUCUCCAUACCACUUUCUGGAAAUUGGUCUUUCUAAAGCCAAUAGAGAUAUUGAACAAUCUCAACCAAUGGAAGACAAAGAUCUACCUUUUACAGAGAUUCUUCAUCCCAAUCGCAUCAAUGGUUUAAGAAGAAUAUCAGAAAAAAUCAUCGAGAUUAUCUCUGGUUCAAAAAAGAAGAUUAAUUAUACCGACUCACAUUGUAUAAUUACAAGCUGGAGUUACAACAACACCAGCCAAGAAGAUCUUCGUCAAGCCUCCAAGUUUGGCGAAAAAUUCAUGAACAAUAGCAUGGAAGUAUCCAAUGCUACACGCCAACACUUUUGCCGACAUGCAGAACAACUUUUCGAAGAACAUCUUUGUCACUUUUGCGAAAGCAAAGAUUCGGAGACAAAGGAGGGACCCUCCUCUGAAGAUGACAAAUCAUCAUCAUCUUAAAGAAAGAUGCUUCACGUGUCAAAUGGCCCCAGCCACUCAAAAUAAUAAUGCCCUUCUCCAUUAUUAGAAGCUUUCCAGCUGUCCACAAUAAUGUAACCUUUAGUGGAUAAAAACGUCAUGCCUGACAUAAUAGGCAAGGAUCAGACCCUCUCAAUGUAUCUAUAAAUUGAGAGUUAUGUUUUGUUUUAGGGGGAUCGCAAGAACGAGUGCAAGAAAAAACACUCUCUAUCUAGUAAAUUUUCAGUUCAAUGUCUAGUGAGUAAUUCCUCCCUUAGAAGGGGAAAAAUGUAAAAUAUUGUAAGAGUCUUCCCAUUUUGGGAACUCUGUUAUCAAUAAAUCUUUGUUUUGUUAUUUUUGAGUGUUCAUACAAUUUAGAGUGAUGAAACUUGUAAGUGACAGAGUGUCAGGUCGACGAUGAUUAACAGUACCACAGGCACCAUGCCAACAGGGAAAGCAACCACACAGACCAAUGAACGACACAGGCUGGCUUGAAUAGUUUCUAUCCAUGUAAGUAUAACACUCACCACAUCACAAUUACACAUUUAUUGAUACAAGAGUCAUCUUUUCACAAUUUUUAUAUUUAUUCCCUUCUUUGUUAAAACACAAAUUCCGUACACAUCCACACACCCAAACUGGUAUCAGAGCCUUGAUAAAUAUGGCAUUACAUUAUAAUAAAACACUUUACAGAGUAAAGUUUGAACAUAUUCAUAAUAAAGAGAUUGAAAUAAAUCACCAUAAAGAAAUACUUUUCAAUAAUAAAAAAGACUUGGUGCAUAUAGAUUUCAGAAUUCUACAAGCACAAAAUAAACAUACUCACGAAUAUAUACCAAACUUGGUUAAUAUACGUAUGUAUCUCCUGCAUAAGCAAAAAGUACAUCAAGAACAUCUUGAUAGAAAUAAAAAAUUAGUUUCAAAACUCAGAAAGUUUAUUUUAACUUGUUAGCUUUUCUUAAAAUGAAUAAUGAAAUUUUCAACAACACUGAAGAAAAUAAUUCAGAAGAAAAACAAAUCUUAACUUAUGUUGAAGAUGAAGACGGCUUCCAUGCAAAUCUUUUAAUAAAACAAGACCUUCUCUCUAGAGUUAAGAAAAUUGAUUUNUGUUAAAAAGGGGCCGUAAGCACUCACCUUUGAAGUGUGAGUUUCAAUCGAUUGAAUUAGGUUUCUUUGAGAUGCUUGACGUGAGAAACCCUAAAUCCACAAUUCUUGAACUUUGAAACACUUUGGGUCCAUUUUGUAACAAAUUUAAACAAUUAGGGGUUGUUUGGUAAUUUAAUUAACCAAAAUAGGAUUGCUUUGAUUAAAAUAAAUAAAAAGAGGGACUGAAAUGGUUUAAAUUGAAAUUAUGUUUGAAAAAUGGACAGAUUUUGUUAAGGAUUUUUAAUGAAGGGGCUGAAAUGCUAAUUUUUAUUCAAAGUUUGAAGGUUGUCAUUUAUUAUGUUAAAAUAAACCAAAUGAGGGGCUGUUUUGUUUAAAAUACCCCAAUGUUUGGGAAAAAUGGGCUUCUUUUAAAAAGAUGUUGCUGCAGGGGGUUUAUUGGGUCAUUUUUUAAAUUCAAAAGGAUUUUUAUGGCUUUCUUUUUACACCCGUCGUCAUUUGUUCGAUUAGUCACAGAAGGAUACGAUCGGGCGACGAAGGAAAAGGGGUUACGGGAGCAACGAAAUCAGACGGCGAGAAAGAAGCUCGCAGGCGCGCGGCUGCUACUCCGGAGGUCCUGGCCGAUCGAGAAGAGGGAGGCGGCUCCGGUGCUUGGCCGAACCGAAGGAGGAGAAGAGACGAAAGCAGCGAGGCUAUCUCUUUCUCGUGCGGCGAUUGCAGACUCAUCGCACCCGAAUGGCAUGCUCCAGUGGUCGAUUAGACUGAAGAAAAGGAACGGUCCAUGGGUGUUGCGAGCAGCAGCAGUGACGAGGUGAGACCUUCGGAGGUCUGGGGUUGUUGGGGACAGAAGUGGAUGAAGGCGAGGGCAGAGGAGGUCUCGGUGGUGUUUGCUCUACAGUCGCGAUGUUCCCCCUCUCGUUUUGACAGUUCCGAUCAACAAUAAGUAAGAAGUUUCUUUUGGGAUUUUGUUUGUUUUAACAUGAAUCUAUGGAAUGAACAAAAUAGAUAUUUGGGUUUGCUUUUGACAGAAAAUCGAUAGGCUUAAGUGGGUGCUUGGUUUUGGUUCAUGACAAGAAAGAAGGAAAAACGGAAGAGGAGUCAAGGAUGGCAGCAACUUCGAGGGGCAGGAGGAUCGUGAGGGAUAGAGAUUUUGAGUGAUCCUUUUUUUUUUUUUUUUUUUUUUUGAAUGCUUGAGUAUUUCGGUCGACAGGGAAAGAAAAUGAAUCAAGAAAAAAAAAGGUCUUGUUCUUCUUCUGGGUUGCUCACGAAUAGAAGAAGAUCAAGUGGUUUUGAGUGUUUAAUUGGUUAAAGGAGGUGUCCAAGAAUCAUUUUUUCUUGAGUGUAGAAUUUAUGUAUCUUAGGUGAGAUUUAGAAGCAAUAUCAUUUAUAAUGAAUUUGUUUGUGUGUGAACUUGGGUAAAUGGUAAUGUGGAAGCAAUGUUAUUCGGCUGUCAAUUUCUAUGUAUUUGGUUUAACUUGCAAUCAAUUUGUAAAUCAAUAAGUAUGUAAUUUAUUUGGGUAAAUGGUAAUGUGGAAGGAAUUUUAU